ensembl:lncRNA
GCUCAGUGAAAAAGUUUGUAGAGGUCUUAAGUGAGAACUGACAAUUUCAGAAGGAAUCCCUCACCAUGGCAGGGUUGAUUAUUUUCCUGCUGCUCAGUGCUGCCUUUUCUCUGGGAGAACUACAUUGGUGGCCACUUAGGUGCCCUGGGGAAUGGCGCCAGUUUGGUUCCCAUUGUGUCAUUUUCGAUGAGACUCCAUGAUCUUGGGCGGAUGUGGAGGUAGCCCCCGAACCCCUCCAAGAACUGCCACCUUAACGUGGUGGAGGGGUUUGAGUACCCGAGUGACCCUAGGAGCUAUGUUGUCUUUGGCUAUAUGCCCCUGGUAGGGUCUCCCAAGGCAAACAGGUCUUAGGCG